rnacentral:misc_RNA from 1 species
UUCAGAAUCAAGACUCACUGGACAGGG